rnacentral:rRNA from 1 species
AUUGAACGCUGGCGGCAGGCUUAACACAUGCAAGUCGAGCGGGGGGAAGGUAGCUUGCUACCUAACCUAGCGGCGGACGGGUGAGUAAUGCUUAGGAAUCUGCCUAUUAGUGUGGGACAACAUUUCGAAAGGGAUGCUAAUACCGCAUACGCCCUAAGGGGGAAAGCAGGGGAUCUUCGGACCUUGCGCUAAUAGAUGAGCCUAAGUCGGAUUAGCUAGUUGGUGGGGUAAAGGCCUACCAAGGCGACGAUCUGUAGCGGGUCUGAGAGGAUGAUCCGCCACACUGGGACUGGGACCCGGCCCAGACUCCUACGGGAGGAAGCAGUGGGGAAUAUUGGACAAUGGGGGGAACCCUGAUCCAGCCAUGCCGCGUGUGUGAAGAAGGCCUUUUGGUUGUAAAGCACUUUAAGCGAGGAGGAGGCUACCGAGAUUAAUACUCUUGGAUAGUGGACGUCACUCGCAGAAUAAGCACCGGCUAACUCUGUGCCAGCCGCCGCCGUAAUAC